GAUGAAGAACGCAGCGAAAUGCGAUACGUAAUGUGAAUUGCAGAAUUCAGUGAAUCAUCGAGUCUUUGAACGCACAUUGCGCCCUCUGGUAUUCCGGAGGGCAUGCCUGUCCGAGCGUCAUUGCUGCCCUCAAGCACGACUUGUGUGUUGGGCUCCGUCCCCCGAUCCCGGGGGACGGGCCCGAAAGGCAGCGGCGGCACCGCGUCCGGUCCUCGAGCGUAUGGGGCUUUGUCACCCGCUCUGUAGGCCCGGCCGGCGCUUGCCGAUCAACCAAAUUUUUAUCCAGGUUGACCUCGGAUCAGGUAGGGAUACCCGCUGAACUUAAGCAUAUCAAUAAGCGGAGGA
rnacentral:misc_RNA from 1 species